AGGAAACUCACAUUAUUCUCUUCAUGGCCAGCAGAAGAAAUAGAAUUUCUUGUUCACUGCUCCCUACAGAGAUUUUACAGGACAGGAACAACUGUUGUCCCAGAAAGUUUAAACUCUUACUUCUUAGUAGUUGUAAAAUCGGGUCGAUGUCUGAUAGUGACACAAGUGGAUCAAGAGAGAAUAUAUGCACACUCCAAUGAAAUGCAGAAUUUUUCUUCUCUUUGUGAUGACUUUAUCACAAUAUCAUCAUUAAAAGAAAAGAAGGAUUUGACUAGAAGACUUUGGGAAAGAUCUCUUUAUUCAGCUGCUCAGAGAACUCCUCUUACUCAGAUGCCCAGAAGACCAAGACCUCAAACAGCUGCAGUAUUAUGUUAUUCGCUCAGGGACAGAAAAGCCUUUGGUGACCUGGAACAGAAAGGUAAUGAGGCACUACAUGUGAACCUAAUAGAAGGUGAAAAAGUUGCCGAGACAAAGAGAGGUGGAAGGAAACAAAAGGUGGCUUCAUCAGUUCCUCAGUUCCUGAAGAUAAGGGCGCUGGAACAAGGUGGCAUUUUUAUCAGUGAAGGAGCGGAGUGCAUUUUCAUUCCCAAAAAACUUUUUCUAGACAAAGCCCCUGUCAAGUCGAGAAAGAUGGCUCUUGAGCUGGUGAAAAGCUACCCCUCAGAAAGCAUAAUUAUGGAGAACUAUGCUAGGCACCAAGCUUGGAAUACCUACAAGGCCAAGCUUAUUAGACAACAGCUUGACAGACAAGCUAUGCCAACUUCAGCUCGCUUUUCUUUUUAAAAGAUGUCUAUGGUAGCUGCCUUAUGCCCAGAUACUACUUCUUUUAGUUAAUGAGAUGAUGAUACUCAAGCAUGUGCUAAUGGGAAAAUAUGUACUGUCCAUGACUAUAUACACAUAGGAUAAUGCACAUCUUACAUGCCUUUUAAAUAAAGUUUG
rnacentral:lncRNA from 1 species